AUUGAACGCUGGCGGCAGGCUUAACACAUGCAAGUCGAGCGGAGAUGAGGUGCUUGCACCUUAUCUUAGCGGCGGACGGGUGAGUAAUGCUUAGGAAUCUGCCAUUUAGUGGGGGACAACAUUCCGAAAGGAAUGCUAAUACCGCAUACGUCCUACGGGAGAAAGCAGGGGAUCUUCGGACCUUGCGCUAAAUGAUGAGCCUAAGUCGGAUUAGCUAGUUGGUGGGGUAAAGGCCUACCAAGGCGACGAUCUGUAGCGGGUCUGAGAGGAUGAUCCGCCACACUGGGACUGAGACACGGCCCAGACUCCUACGGGAGGCAGCAGUGGGGAAUAUUGGACAAUGGGCGGAAGCCUGAUCCAGCCAUGCCGCGUGUGUGAAGAGGGCCUUUUGGUUGUAAAGCACUUUAAGCGAGGAGGAAGGGGUUGUAGUUAAUAGCUGCAACCUUUGACGUUACUCGCAGAAGAAGCACCGGCUAACUCUGUGCCAGCCGCCGCCGUAAAAC
rnacentral:rRNA from 1 species